UACGUAGGGUGCAAGCGUUAUCCGGAAUUAUUGGGCGUAAAGAGCUCGUAGGCGGUUUGUCACGUCUGCUGUGAAAACUGGAGGCUCAACCUCCAGCCUGCAGUGGGUACGGGCAGACUAGAGUGCGGUAGGGGAGAUUGGAAUUCCUGGUGUAGCGGUGGAAUGCGCAGAUAUCAGGAGGAACACCGAUGGCGAAGGCAGAUCUCUGGGCCGUAACUGACGCUGAGGAGCGAAAGCAUGGGGAGUGAACGGG
rnacentral:rRNA from 1 species